rnacentral:rRNA from 1 species
UACGAAGGGGGCUAGUCGUUGACUCGGAAUCGACUGGGCGUAAAGCGCACGUAGGCGGAUUGUUAAGUCAGGGGUGAAAUCCUGGAGCUCAACUCCAGAACUGCCUUUGAUACUGGCGAUCUCGAGUCCGGGAGAGGUGAGUGGAACUGCGAGUGUAGAGGUGAAAUUCGUAGAUAUUCGCAAGAACACCAGUGGCGAAGGCGGCUCACUGGCCCGGUACUGACGCUGAGGCGCGAAAGCGUGG